rnacentral:rRNA from 1 species
ACGGAGGGUGCAAGCGUUGUUCGGAAUUAUUGGGCGUAAAGGGCGCGUAGGCGGUAAUGUAAGUCAGAUGUGAAAUACUCUGGCACAACCAGAGAACAGCAUCUGAAACUGCAUAACUGGAGUACAGAAGAGGGAAACGGAAUUCCCGGUGUAGAGGUGAAAUUCGUAGAUAUCGGGAGGAACACCAGUGGCGAAGGCGGUUUCCUGGUCUGAUACUGACGCUGAGGCGCGAAAGCGUGGGGAGCAAACAG